GCCAGCGUGGCUUAGUGGUUUGAGUGUGUCAGACUAUGAGUCUGGAGACCAGGGUUCAAUUCCCAGUUUGGCC